CCCUUAGAUGUUCUGGGCCGCACGCGUGCUACACUGAGUGGAUCAGCGGGUCAGGUUGCGCGAAAGCGUUUCCUAAUCUUUAAAUCCGCUCGUGAUGGGGAUUGACGGUUGCAAUUUUCUGUCAUGAACGAGGAAUACCUUGUAAGCGCGGGUCAUCAUCCCGCGCUGAAUACGUCCCUGCCCUUUGUACACACCGCCCGUCGCUCCUACCGAUUGAGUGGUCCGGUGAAGUUCGUAGACCUCGUGAUCGCGGAUCGCUGGGGGAAGCAAAAUGAACCUCGCGGUUUAGAGGAAGGAGAAGUCGUAACA
rnacentral:rRNA from 1 species